CACGUAGGGGGCGAGCGUUGUCCGGAUUUAUUGGGCGUAAAGAGCUCGUAGGCGGCUCGUUGCGUCGGCUGUGAAAACCCGCAGCUCAACUGUGGGCUUGCAGCCGAUACGGGCGGGCUGGAGUUCGGUAGGGGAGACUGGAAUUCCUGGUGUAGCGGUGAAAUGCGCAGAUAUCAGGAGGAACACCGGUGGCGAAGGCGGGUCUCUGGGCCGAUACUGACGCUGAGGAGCGAAAGCGUGGGGAGCGAACAGG
rnacentral:rRNA from 1 species